rnacentral:rRNA from 1 species
UACGAAGGGGGCUAGCGUUGUUCGGAAUUACUGGGCGUAAAGCGCACGUAGGCGGAUAUUUAAGUCAGGGGUGAAAUCCCGCAGCUCAACUGCGGAACUGCCUUUGAUACUGGGUAUCUUGAGUAUAGAAGAGGUAAGUGGAAUUCCGAGUGUAGAGGUGAAAUUCGUAGAUAUUCGGAGGAACACCAGUGGCGAAGGCGGCUUACUGGUCCAUUACUGACGCUGAGGUGCGAAAGCGUGGGGAGCAAACAGG